rnacentral:rRNA from 1 species
AUGGACCUCCAGGACGACGAGCUAGACGAUGUGGUUGUUGGGGCAGAGGAGGUGAAGAAGUUUGAAGCAGAUGCAAGAUGGCUGACGAUUGGGAAGGUCAAUACUACACGCAUCUUCAGCUCUUCGACGAUGUUCAAGACUCUGAAGUCGGUCUGGGGAUUAGCUCAUGUACCAAAGUACAGGGAAGCGGGGGAGAACCUCUUUAUUUUUCAGAUGUUUUGCUUAGGGGAUUGGAAGAAGGUGGUGCAUGGAGGCCCAUGGCUGUUCAGGGGUAUGGGCAUGCUGAUUGAAGACUAUGAUGGCAAGAAGGAUCCAACAACUUUCGAGUUUGAUGGCUUAUAUGUUUGGGCUUAGAUCCACAAUAUCCCAGAAUUGUAUCGGAAAGCAGAAGUGGUGGAUCAGCUAGCUCGCCGCAUUGGUCGAGUAAAGGAAAUCCAAAUUGCGCCUCGCCUCUUUUAUGAGGGGGAU